CUGCUGGAGGAGGAGAGCUGUGCAGACGCCCAGGACGGGGAGCUGGACGGGCUCUGGACGACUAUCUCCAUCUUCAUCACGCUCUUCCUGCUCAGCGUCUGCUACAGCGCCACCGUGACCCUCUUCAAGGUGAAGUGGAUCCUCUCAUCUGUGGUGGAGCUGAAGCAGUCGAUCACUCCCAACUACAGAAACAUGAUCGGACAGGGCGCCUAGAGCUCCUGUGGGCCACGGCUGGACCACCCCUUUCCACUCGUGACUCCCAGCCUGUGCCAGGGCUGCCCCACUGCCUUCUGAGCUCGCUAACCCCUGAGCUCCCGGCCAUCCUUCCGUGUACCUCAGAACUCUGGCUCUGUAGCCGCCACUGUCUGCCCAGCCCCCCUCAAAGACCCAAGUGAGCAGCAGGUGAUGCCCCAGCCUGAGCUGAUGGACGCCGAGGGCCUCUGCGCAGCCUGCAAGACACCGUUGCCACCAGUUGCCCUACGAAGAGUGCAUGGGUCCAGGGCUGUCUGCACAGGGCACCCGUCUUGCCCAGGCCUGGAUCCAGACCGCAGGUCCCUGGGGGAGGAAGCUGAGUUCCCACACCGUAUGCACAGGGCCCAGCCCCCGCAUCUUGCCCAGGCCUGGAUCCAGACCACAGGUCCCUAAGGGAGGAAGCUGAGUCCCCACACCGUAUGCACAGGGCACCCAUCCUGCCCAGGGUGGGAUCCAGACCACAGGUCCCUGGAGGAGGCCCCUGUGUCAGAUCCUUGGGAACAGCUGUCCGACAGCUGCCCUGCUGACCAAGCUCCUGGGAGGACCACUACCGGUCACCCAGGUAAUCUCCACCAAGGACGCUGCUGGGAGCAGGGCCUGGGCCCACAGAGGCUGCAGGAGCCCUGGUGGGGGAAGGGGUGACGUCCCGCCAACAGGCCGCCUGGAGACGGGCCUGGUGACUGGUUCCCAGUGGACAGAGCUGCAGGGGCUCCCAGGACACAGGACGGCAGGGCAGCCAGUCCAUCCGGUGGCCAACAGCCUGACACUCCCCCAGGAGCUCGGCCUGCACCGAGAGCGGGGGUGAGAGGUGAGACCAGAGACCCACAGAGGCCCAGCCCCGGGCCCCGGGCCCACCCCGCCUCUCGGGACAGACUCUCCCGUCGUUGCAGAAAUGUGCACGGGCUUCUCUGGAUGGGAGGCGCUGCCCCAGGACUGGAAGGACCACAGCCUGGGGCUUGGGAAGCUUCUGCUGCGCAAUGCGGUAGCCUGCUCUUUGCUGUCUUUAUCUCUUUAACGACAAUAAAGCGUCUUGACUUCACCCA